GCCAGGUUAGCUCAGAUGGUAGAGCAUCAGACUUUUAAUCUGAGGGUCAUGGGUUCGAGCCCCAUAUCGGGCG
rfam:Nematostella vectensis strain CH2 x CH6 NEMVEscaffold_231_Cont19841, whole genome shotgun sequence.